AUGUUGUGGAUAUAUGCCCCAAAUGAGGAACACGUCUUCAAAUGAUAGAUGGUUCAUCGAAAUUGAGUAGCCAUCCCAUCAGUGCCGGCCGGCGUUAAGGAAGGGCAGACGGUGUAAAUGAUCGUGGGAAAAAAGGAGCUGUUCAUUACAUCCAAACAAUAGUCGCUACUUCUGCCAAGGCGGUGCCGAUGUGCACACCGACGGACACAUUUCCCUGACAAAGGUUUUAAGCGUAUCAACAGUUGAGGCGGCAACCUUACGUUCAAGUAAAAAUCCAGAUCCCGACCAAGCUAUACAAUAAGCAGAAAGCGAUUAGAUACAGGCGUACGCAUAAUCGGAAGAAGAUACCCCCGUCCAAAUUAUGGGCGUUACAUUGUCUUGUUCCUUGGCGACGAACGCGAAUGAAUCUGUCGAGGAAGA